rnacentral:rRNA from 1 species
GAUGAACGCUAGCUACAGGCUUAACACAUGCAAGUCGCGGGGCAGCAUGGGGGUUGCUUGCAAUCCCCGAUGGCGACCGGCGCACGGGUGAGUAACGCGUAUCCAACCUGCCCUUCACCACGGGAUAACCCGGCGAAAGUCGGACUAAUACCGUAUGUUGUCCAUUGACGGCAUCCGAUUUGGACGAAAGGUUUGGCGGUGAAGGAUGGGGAUGCGUCCGAUUAGCUGGACGGCGGGGUGACGGCCCACCGUGGCGACGAUCGGUAGGGGUUCUGAGAGGAAGGUCCCCCACACUGGAACUGAGACACGGUCCAGACUCCUACGGGAGGCAGCAGUGAGGAAUAUUGGUCAAUGGGCGUAAGCCUGAACCAGCCAAGUAGCGUGCAGGAUGACGGCCCUAUGGGUUGUAAACUGCUUUUAUGCGGGGAUAAAGUGGCCCACGUGUGGGCUUUUGCAGGUACCGCAUGAAUAAGGACCGGCUAAUUCCGUG